rnacentral:rRNA from 1 species
GAUGAACGCUAGCGGCAGGCUUAAUACAUGCAAGUCGAGGGGCAGCAUAAGUAGCAAUACUUGAUGGCGACCGGCAAACGGGUGCGGAACACGUACGCAACCUUCCUUUAAGUGGGGAAUAGCCCGGGGAAACCCGGAUUAAUACCCCGUAAUAUUAUGAUGUGGCAUCACAUUAUAAUUAUAGAUUCAUCGCUUAAAGAUGGGCGUGCGCCUGAUUAGGUAGUUGGCGGAGUAAUAGCCCACCAAGCCUGCGAUCAGUAACUGGUGUGAGAGCACGACCAGUCACACGGGCACUGAGACACGGGCCCGACUCCUACGGGAGGCAGCAGUAAGGAAUAUUGGUCAAUGGACGCAAGUCUGAACCAGCCAUGCCGCGUGGAGGAUGAAGGUCC